GAUGAACGCUGGCGGCGUGCCUAAUACAUGCAAGUCGAGCGAACAGACGAGGAGCUUGCUCCUCUGACGUUAGCGGCGGACGGGUGAGUAACACGUGGAUAACCUACCUAUAAGACUGGGAUAACUUCGGGAAACCGGAGCUAAUACCGGAUAAUAUAUUGAACCGCAGGGUUCAAUAGUGAAAGGCGGUUUUGCUGUCACUUAUAGAUGGAUCCGCGCCGCAUUAGCUAGUUGGUAAGGUAACGGCUUACCAAGGCAACGAUGCGUAGCCGACCUGAGAGGGUGAUCGGCCACACUGGAACUGAGACACGGUCCAGACUCCUACGGGAGGCAGCAGUAGGGAAUCUUCCGCAAUGGGCGAAAGCCUGACGGAGCAACGCCGCGUGAGUGAUGAAGGUCUUCGGAUCGUAAAACUCUGUUAUUAGGGAAGAACAAAUGUGUAAGUAACUAUGCACGUCUUGACGGUACCUAAUCAGAAAGCCACGGCUAACUACGUG
rnacentral:rRNA from 1 species